UUAAAAAGCUCGUAGUUGAAUGUUUGCGUCGCGCGUAGGCUUCCUUUUGGGUGCCUUCGCCCUCGCUUUUGGGUUUUCCCUUAUUACUUUGAGAAAAUUAGAGUGUUUCAAGCAGACUUUUGUCUUGAAUACUUCAGCAUGGAAUAAUAGAGUAGGACUUUGGUUCUAUUUUGUUGGUUUGUGAACCUUAGUAAUGGUUAAUAGGAACGGUUGGGGGCAUUCGUAUUUAACUGUCAGAGGUGAAAUUCUUAGAUUUGUUAAAGACGAACUACUGCGAAAGCAUUUGCCAAGGACGUUUCCAUUAAUCAAGAACGAAAGUUAGGGGAUCGAAGACGAUCAGAUACCGUCGUAGUCCUAACCAUAAACUAUGCCGACUAGGGAUUGGAGGUCGUCAUUUUUCCGACUC
rnacentral:rRNA from 1 species